GACGGAGGAUGCAAGCGUUAUCCGGAAUGAUUGGGCGUAAAGCGUCUGCAGGUGGCAGUUCAAGUCUGCUGUCAAAGACCGGGGCUUAACUUCGGAAAGGCAGUGGAAACUGAACAGCUAGAGUAUGGUAGGGGCAGAGGGAAUUCUUGGUGUAGCGGUGAAAUGCGUAGAGAUCAGGAAGAACAUCGGUGGCGAAGGCGCUCUGCUGGACCAUAACUGACACGCAGGGACGAAAGCUAGGGGAGCGAAUGGG
rnacentral:rRNA from 1 species